GGAAUCUUGCGCAAUGGGCGAAAGCCUGACGCAGCAACGCCGCGUGCGGGAUGAAGGCCUUCGGGUUGUAAACCGCUUUCAGCAGGGAAGAAAUUGACGGUACCUGCAGAAGAAGCCCCGGCCAACUACGUGCCAGCAGCCGCGGUAACACGUAGGGGGCGAGCGUUGUCCGGAUUUAUUGGGCGUAAAGAGCUCGUAGGCGGUUCGGUAAGUCGGGUGUGAAACCUCCAGGCUCAACCUGGAGACGCCACCUGAUACUGCUGUGACUAGAGUCCGGUAGGGGAGUGUGGAACUCCUGGUGUAGCGGUGAAAUGCGCAGAUAUCAGGAAGAACACCAGCGGCGAAGGCGGCACUCUGGGCCGGUACUGACGCUGAGGAGCGAAAGCGUGGGUAGCAAACAGGAUUAGAUACCCUGGUAGUCCACGCCGUAAACGUUGGGCACUAGGUGUGGGUCUCAACCAACGAGAUCCGUGCCGCAGCUAACGCAUUAAGUGCCCCGCCUGGGGAGUACGGCCGCAAGGCUAAAACUCAAAGGAAUUGACGG
rnacentral:rRNA from 1 species